rnacentral:rRNA from 1 species
AAAUUGAAGAGUUUGAUCAUGGCUCAGAUUGAACGCUGGCGGCAGGCCUAACACAUGCAAGUCGAGCGGUAGCACAGAGAGCUUGCUCUCGGGUGACGAGCGGCGGACGGGUGAGUAAUGUCUGGGAAACUGCCUGAUGGAGGGGGAUAACUACUGGAAACGGUAGCUAAUACCGCAUAAUGUCGCAAGACCAAAGUGGGGGACCUUCGGGCCUCAUGCCAUCAGAUGUGCCCAGAUGGGAUUAGCUAGUAGGUGGGGUAACGGCUCACCUAGGCGACGAUCCCUAGCUGGUCUGAGAGG